rnacentral:ncRNA from 2 species
GUACGUGCUCCGGGGUCGGUGAAAGUCCGAGCCGGCGGUGACAGUCCGCGACCCGGUGCGAGGCCUCACGGUCCCGCACCGGUUGACCUGGUGGAACUCCAGGACCGACGGUGAAAGUCCGGAUGGGAGGAAGCACGUGA